rnacentral:rRNA from 1 species
AGUGAACGCUGGCGGUAGGCCUAACACAUGCAAGUCGAACGGCAGCACAGUAAGAGCUUGCUCUUACGGGUGGCGAGUGGCGGACGGGUGAGGAAUACAUCGGAAUCUACUUUUUCGUGGGGGAUAACGUAGGGAAACUUACGCUAAUACCGCAUACGACCUACGGGUGAAAGCAGUGGAUCUUCGGACCUUGCGCGAUUGAAUGAGCCGAUGUCGGAUUAGCUAGUUGGCGGGGUAAAGGCCCACCAAGGCGACGAUCCGUAGCUGGUCUGAGAGGAUGAUCGGCCACACUGGAACUGAGACACGGUCCAGACUACUACGGGAGGCAGCAGUGGGGAAUAUUGGACAAUGGGCGCAAGCCUGAUCCAGCCAUACCGCGUGGGUGAAGAAGGCCUUCGGGUUGUAAAGCCCUUUUGUUGGGAAAGAAAAGCAGCAGGUUAAUACCCCGCUGUUCUGACGGUACCCAAAGAAUAAGCACCGGCUAACUUCGUG